CAAGAUUCCCUAUGGGCUGUAGUCAAUUCAUGAUGCCUCCCAUUCAUAUAAACGUGCAAAAGUAUAAAUAUUGGUGUUACAUUUGUAUUUAUAUAUAACUUUUGCUGGUAAGGGGCAUCUGGUCAUAAUGUCACUUCACCAGUAUUGAGCAUUAGAACAUGGCUGAACAACAUUUCACUAUUUAGCACCCUAUGAUGCUAAGUACACAAGUCUCUUAAAAGCAUGUGGUGUUAGACAUAUGUAAAAUCAGUAUAGUACCAUAAAUCAAAGGAGGAAACACCAAAAACUCAGGCUAUGGAACUCACAAUAUUGAUCACAUCAAUGGAAAUUUUCAAAAGAUUCAACUUCAUUUUCAGCAAGGAGCCUAGGCUUCUGGUUUACAGAAGGCAUAUGAUUCUUGGCUCCAAAGAAUGAGAAAAUAUCUGAUCAUUUUGCUGCCAAAAACAUCACACAAAAGAUCAUGCUGGUGUUGGUACCUUGCCUUCUUCAACUUGAGAAGGUCUGAAAUUGAACACUCCAGCUAGUCCUCGUCCCUUGCCAACUGUUCAAGCUCUUGAAUUUUGCUUUUCAGGCUCUCCACCUCUCGUGACAAUGAGUCAUCUCUUUCCCUCAUUUGCUGAGAAAAAACACAAGGAUCUCAAAUAUAGCUCAAACAAAUUUCAAGAAGGAUGAAUUUCAGUUCAUUAUAAGAGCUAAUAGGGGUUUUUGAUCUCAACUCAUGAUGUAAUAGAACAUAAUUGUUUAACACCAGAAUCAAUAAAAUUCAAAUUAGCAAAUUACAACAGUUCCUUCUGCUGCUACAAAGAGCCAGGUAAAUCAGGGUGCAUUUUCAGGUUUGGUAAUAGAAAUGAUAUGUAAUUAAAGGGAUACUUGGUGCAUCCACCUAUCUUCUCUAAGAGAAGUAUGCAAGAGCAAUGAUGGAAGUGGCACAAAAUUGCUCCGUUAUGUUAUCCAGAAAGUGCUCGCUUUACUGGGCCCAUUCCAUGAAAUUACAUUGAGAUAGAAUAAGUAACCAUAACCUAAUUUAUAAUAAUAAUAAUAAUAUUUAUAAGUAAUAAUAAGAAUACUUAAAAAAUGGACCUUGUCAACUCAACCUCAAGAGUUAGCUCUUAAGAAUUUUAGUCAGUAACCAUAAACUUGAGAAAGAGAUGCAAAGGUAGAUGUUUACUGAGAUAACAUCACAGGAACAAACAUAUACUUUUAGGAAUGUUCAGUGUUUUUGGUUUUGGGUGAUAUGAAAGAGUUUGUCAAGACCAAACAAGUAACCGAAGAAUUCGAGAGACUACCUCCAGCUCUUGCCUGCGAAGUUCCUCCUUUUUGGCUUCGGAUCAAGAACUUCUUUGCACCUCAAAGUAAAGUGCAGCAACUGCAACUGUUUCAGCAAUUUAAGGAAGUAGCCAAAGCACAAAAUUAGACAACAUAAAGGUGCUAGAUGCAAGAUACCAAAGUCAAGGGCUAUUGCAUCACUCCAAACUAACCACCAUUAUUAAUAGAUUCAACCAAAUAUAAUGAUGCCCUCUCCAAGCUGUAUUGUUCAUGAUUCAUUACUGUCUCACUCACAAGAAAUUCACAAACAAAUGAAACAGAUUAUUUUUGUUACUACCUGUUGUUUCCUAUGCUUCGGUUAUCACAUUAUUUGAUUGUUGUUACUGUUCCUUGUUUUCUGAAUGCUAUGUAGUGUUUUCCCUAUUGUUUGCUAUGUCCUCAUUACUUUUGGAUUUUUCUCUUCAAACAACUUUGAUAUACAUUACUUGAGUCGAGGGUCUUUCAAAUACAAUUUCUCUACCUCCACGAGGUAGGGGUAAAGUUUGAGUACACUCAACCCUCCUCGGAUCCCACCACCUGUGGGAUUACACUGGGUAUGUUGUUGUUGUUGGAUAAAGCCAACUGGUUGCCCCUCAUUCUAAUUCAUAUUGUGUAUGAUUAUGAAAUGCUAAAGUAAAGCUUCCAGAUUUGCAAAAGAAUAAUAGACUUUCAGUGAUCAAAUCAUAUGUCACUUAUGUGAGGUGGAAGAUUUUUUAACACCUAUAAGAAGGGGAAGGUUUUUUAACUAAGCAGAGAAAGAAGAUUAGAGUGGUUCCAAUUGAAGAUGCUAACUCAAUCCUGUAAGCCCGAGACAUAAAAUCAUAGACAUAAUAAGCACAGAUGGAAGUAAGAAAAGGGUAUGAGUUCAUGUGGCAGCUGGUGACUGUUAGUGGUCCGAAGAUUUGAGAAGUCAAUAGAGGUUGAUGAAAAAUGCAGAAGAAGAGUAUAAAACAUAUUUACUCCUAACACAAGGAUAUAACGUUGGCUAUUGACAGAUGGCACCAUUAAGAAUCCAUCUCAAAUAAACAGUGAAAACCGUACACUUCCUACUAAACUCUAAAGACAUCCAGAAGGUCAAGGAAGUUGGUGAUGUGAUGACAGGGGAGCCGGCGACCGAAGCCCGGCUGAAUGGCGGCCGUAACUAUAAGUGAAAUUUCUUGUCGGGUUAGCUUAUAAGUUGCAAGUCACAGUGAUGUUUUAGGUAUAUUUAUCUGAAAGUGAGAUAUUAGGGAUGUCUUCAAUAUAAUAUGUAGUGUUUCUGUACGAUCUAAAUUUUGCAUUGACCACUCCUAAAAAUUUAGAAUAAGCAGUAAUUAAAAGGAAAAGAUUAACUUCUCUCGUGUUGGGAUGUCAAGAAAGUUACCUGAAAAUAUAUUUCUUGAGAAAUUUGAUGUGAACAAAAGAAAAGGAAAUCAAAAAUCAUGUUCUUGCAUUUGUCUAUGUGAAAGGAAAUGGAGUUUAAAACACAAACUAUUUGCUUUCAAGUUAUCAAAAUAUUUUUCUGGGAUUAAACUUAGAGUCAAGUCUUUCAUGUAAGACAGUUUUCAUUGCUUGCUGACUAACCACACAUAUAAAGUGUAAAUGAUUAUCAUCUGUACAUUCCUUUCCCUCUCUUAGCAACAAAGGAUAAACAGAUAAGCACUAGGGCCCAGGGGUUCAAGUGUAACUCUUGGUACUUUCCUUUUCCUUACUUAGCAACCCGUGAUAACUAGAAGAGAAGGAGAUCGGCACUAGAACCCAAGAGUUCAAGUCUAACUCAUCCAAGAGAGCUGAAAGGGAACUUACCACAUAAACUCAGUUCAAAAUUUUGUAGCAAAACCAGAAAGUGCAGUCAGCGUAAAAUGUUGGUUAAAAUUAUACUUGAAAUCUUUUUGCUCUAAUAUUUCAGAAAAUAAAAGAGAAAAUAUAGAAGUCUUCAUCUGCCAGUAUUUUUUUGACAAUCCAAUAGUGUGAAAUCAGAAUUGUGAGGAACAAGAGGUUAGGCCUUCUAAUUCUAAGUCAAUGUAAUGGGCUGUAAAGGAUACUAUUUGGACAAGCUGCGAAAAGAAGAAUAGUUUCAUAACAUGUCAGUACUCUAUCAACUGCCCAAAGAAACUGACGAGAGACCCUGGACUUUGAUUUUCUUUUAUCUUCCAUUUCAACCAUCAUUACACCAAAAUGUGUUCAAUCAGCACACUACCAACAUUGAUUUAGUAUUUAAAGUGGGUAUUCAACAAGUAUCUUUAAAUUAGAGGAGUUUUCAGACAAAAGGACUUUCUUUUCCCGCUUUCACAAGUAAACAAUUCACGAAUAAAAAUUACUCCCAAAAAAUCAUUCAACUGAGGUUCAUCAUAUGGAACUUGGAAGUUUUAGAUCAAUUUUGUGUUGAUAGCACUAAUCAUAAUUCAUAGGAACUACUAAGCUUCACACAGAUCACCCAAAGCAAUAUGCUUCUAUAUUUUGACGACCAUGUAAAUUUAGUUAUACACAAUUCUCAACUCAAAUCUGCGUUAUUUAACAGCACUUGACUUAGGAGCUACUUGCUCAUGCAUGAUCAGUCAGAGUAAUACUCAUAAGCAGAUAUUUCAGAUUUGAAGCAAAUUUUAAAGCUAGCAGUGUAUCUCGAGAUGGUAGGUAUGAGACUUUCAUGUAUAUAAGUUUCAGAGCUCUAAGCUUUGUGUUUCAAACUCUUCCUGGGAAAGGAAAUCACAAGGCAGUUGAACAGAGAAGGAUUCAGUGGACCUGUUGGAUCAGGCUUAUUCCCACAUAUUGAUACAACGAGACUUCAAUGCCCAAGAUUUCAAGGGCUAUGUGAAUCAUUAGAAGUUGCCACAGCUAGUCUGGGUACAAAGGUUGCUACAUCCAUACUGCAGUCGGAGUGAAUAUCGUAUUUAAAAUGCACUAGAAUUCAAACCUUAGUUAGCAAAGUGUAUGCUCUUAUCUAAACAAUAAAAUGUUAUGUAUCAGUAAACAAACAGAGGAAGCUUAGAGAACUAUCUAGACAUGUCAUUACGGAGUCAAGUGGGUAGAAAAUGUUUGCAGUUAUUGUAACCGUUACCUCAUCCUAAAAAAGUUUUUCGAAACAAAAUCGAUUUAAAUCUUAUUUAAGAUCAACAAUGUAUUAAGAGAGAUUGAGUGGAUUAUUAAUUUAAAAGGAAUUAUUAAACAAAUCGAUUAUAAAUAGUAACUAACAAUUUCACAUCUAAAAAAGCUAGAAAAAUAAAUUUUGAACAAAAGUAUGUAUAAUGAAAAAUAAAAGUAUUAGGGCCCUCUCUUAUAUUUCGAUUUAGUCCCCCAAUCUUAUUGAGUCGGCCUUAGAGCUCGUUCAUAUUGAUGGUCUCAAACUUGGAAGUUAGAGGGUCAAUCAGAAACAAUCUCUCUACAUCACAAAAGUAGGUGUAAGGCUUUUAAUCUUACCCUCCCCAGACUUUGCUUAUGGGAUUACAUUGAGUUUGUUUUGCUUUGUCAUGUCCUCAACAAACUUUGGUAUCACUCACUUGUGCCUCCAUAGAGUCAAAGGAACUCAGGUUCCUCAUAAACAGAACUCUCUGUGAAAAAUAUCCACAAAUAAGGAUAUCAAAAAUUCAAAGGACAACACAAGAAAUCUGCUUUUGAUAUCAUAGCUUACUCGUCCACAAUGCUAAUCUGAUCAAAUGAAUAAACAAUGUCUACUUAUACAAAAAUUAGUCACAUAAUGUAUCAGCAUAUGUUAACAAUAGUGCUUAUAACCAAAUUAUAACACAGACUUAUCUUUUAAAACGACAUCGUUGUACCCAAAUAUUCUUACAAAACAAGCGAUCAACUGCUCUUGUAUCACAUCUUCAGCAGGAAGCUCUACAUAUGUCUCAUUCUUCAAAGACGUAACACCUUUAUCGACAAUCCCACAAGGCACAAUAUGCUUAAAGUAGUUUAAAUCAGGGUCCAUGUUGAAUGCUAAUCCAUGAGAUGUGAUGCCAGAUGAAAUUCUAACUCCAAUCGCGCCAAUCUUUCUGUCCUCAACCCAAACCCCAGUUUCGCAUUUUUGUCCAGCCUGUGCUUUCACACCAUACAUAGAUGCCAAUUCAAUCAUGGUUAGCUCAAGCUUCUCAACGUACAUUCUAGCCCCUAAACCAAUAUCUCUCAACGAAACAAUGGGAUAUAAGAUCGCUUGGUGAGGACCAUGAAAAGUAAUGUCACCUCCUCUUUGCGUAUAGUGAAGUUCCACCCCUAUGGACUUGAGCUCGGUAUCAGGAAUGAGUAGAUUAUGAAUUGUUUCCCUUUUGCCAACUGUAUACGUCGGUGGAUGUUGUAGAGAUAAUAGGGUAUCAGUAAUUUUUAGAGCUUUUCUAUUAGAUGCCAACUUCUCUUGCAGCUUUAAUGCCUCCAGGUAAUUUAUCGUGCCCAUCUUCCAAACCUCAAGGUUGCGCCUCAUUUGCCUGAACAUUACGAAACAAUCAAUCAUUCGUGUAAGUGAAGAAUACUGAAACAAAAUGACAAGAUCACGAUAUCAGAUUUGGUGGCCGGAGCAGUUUCUCAGGUCACAAACUUAUCCCAAAUGUUAUACUCUACAUUUUCUCAAAGUAAAGACAAAGAUACGCGCAUAGAAGAGUUUAAAACAAAUCUGAACUAUUACAAUCCAAAAUAAAAGAAGUUCGAUAAAGAAAACUUACACUACCUAAACUAGCUUAUUAUAUGCUUCACCUGAUGUCUCGAGGUCUUGUCCACAAACGGCCUCCAUUCUCACAUUUGUUUUCUUCCGGGAAAUGGAUACAUAUAUUAGAAAGUAAAUAAAAUCACACAAGCAAUCAAAUGUGUCUCAAAUUUUGCCUACCUGAACCUCAUUCAAUAGACUAAUAUUGCAAUAAAACUUGUUCCAUAAUUUAAACAAAACUUAUUCUAAAUCAUUAAUCAAUUAGGCUUCUUUAAUCACACAAAUCAUCUUUCAUCCCAAAUUCACCUAUUUAGCAAACCAUUAUUAUUCCUUUUAACUAGUCUUCAUUCUAAACAAACAGAUUGUCCAUUCCAUGAAUCACAGAAUCACAUCGCCAGCAUAUCAAAUCGUAAAGGAAACGAAAAUGAACAUAGAAUUGAAGAAUUGGAGCCCACUUCUCUUUGCAAUUUUGGCUAUAAACAGAGAGCUCUGAGAACUCUGAUUGAGAACACACUCGGAGUGACCAAUGACCUCAAAUAGUACUCAUUAUUCUCAACAGAGACUCACACCAGAGAUAUAUACAUUUAAAAUCCAAUUUAAAAAUUUGUCUUUGAAUCUGAUUAUUCAAUGUAAUGCCAAAUCAAGAUUUGGGGUUUUCCUUUUUUUUCCUUCUGUUAUUAGAUAAAGUAAUCAAUUUCAUAAUUUAGUUUACAACAACAAGAAACACCCCUUUUACAACAUACAACCCUAUAUGCUCAAAACUCAAAAGUUAAGGAAGCUAACAAAGCAAGAUCUGUUUUUUUUCCUUCAUUGACCUACCAUACAUCAAACAGAAAAGCCCCUUGAAAGCAUAUGAGUGUUCCAUCAAAAUAUUCACCAAAAAUGGAUUUUAAGAAAAAGGGAAACACUCAAAUCAAUUCAAAGAAAACAAAGUAAGUUAAGGAAAUAUAUAUAAAGAUAAAUAAGGUAAAGAGAGAACCUACAAGAUUUUUCAAUCUUAUUUUCUGUUAAUUUUCCACUCCAUUUCUUUCCACCAUUUGCUUCUCACAGUUUUUCCAUUAUUGGGUUAUUGGUUGGAUUUUGAGUUUGUAAUAUGAGUUAUUGGGUAAAUUGAUAAUCUAUUAAAAUUACAAUAAUUUAUUAUUGUUAGCCUUAGAUAAACAUUAAAUUCACUAUCUUACUUAUUGCUCACUUUUCCUUUUAACUUCAAUUUCACGCUAUAUGUUACUUUGAGUUUGCAAUUUCACAUUAUACUUUGUUUCUUUUAAUUUCUUUUUGUGUUGCACUUGUAUAACUCUUUUCACGUUAGUUAUUACUUAUUAUUAUUUCUAUUUUAUGAGCUCUAUAAAGUUAUAUAAUUAUUUUGUCAUUUUAAAUUAUUAAAGAAGUCAUAUAUUUAUUUUAUGAGUAUCUUUUAUUAGUAAAUUGAAAAUCAAAAUUAAUAAAUAUAAUCUUAUUAAUUUAGUAUAUUUAUAAACGAAAUCAAUAAUAUAUAAAAUCAAAUCGAACAAAAUAGACUAUAAGCACAUGGACAAAAUAUUACAUUAUCUUGUGGUAACCACUGGUCACCUUGGGAUCACGCUUAUCUCUCCACGUGUCAUACGAAGCUUCUAUUGAUAUCGAAUAUAUCUCCAUUAAUUUUUAUUUGCCUAUCACAUUAAUUAGAAAAAUUACAUGUUUAUUUUAUUUGUUGAUUUAUAAAGUUAAAAGAUAAUUUAAUUUACUUACUCAAUUUGUUUCUAUAUCUAUAUUUUUUGCCACUUCACUUUACGAAUUCAAUUUCUUGAGAGAGGUAUUGAAAAUAUUUUUCAAUUCAUGUAUGAAACGCUAAUUUCAUUUUCAAAAUUAUUGAAAAUCUUAAAAGACAUCUCUUUAUUUGAUUAAUUGAAUUUAAAUACAACUCGAUCUCUAAUAUAACAUAGUUGAUGGUCUCUUUAUUACUUUCUCUGUUUAUUUUUACUUGUCAAUUAUUCUUAAAAUAAAAUUUUCAUUGUACUCGUCACUUUUGACAUACAAAAAAAAACAAAAAUAUUUGUUCAUGUUUACCCUCAAUAUUAAAUACCGUUCCUUCAAAUUAUUUAGACUUAAUAGUUAAUACUAAACAUAUCUGUGACAAAUAAUUGUGAGGAACAAGCAAGCCUCUCACCAUUAACAUAAUCAUUUAGCCAUGGAAUACGACAAAGUGGCCAGGAAUGAAGAAAUAUUUUGGAGGCAGAGAUCCAGAGUCCAGUCGAUAAAAUGUGGUUAUAAAAACACUAAGUUUUUUCACAGAAUGGCCACUGCACGUAAAAGACUCAACACUAUAGAUUCCUUGUUGAUCAAUGGAGAACUAUCUAGUGAUCUUGUGGCUAUCAAGGGCUCCAUUGUGGAUUUUUAUCAAGAUCUCUACAAAGAAUCAGAAAAUUGGAGACCUUAUUUGAAUCUUUAUGAAGUACAAGGCAUUUCAACAGAAGAAAGAAACAACCUUGAGAGAGGUUUUGAGGAAGAAGAGGUAUUGGCAGGGAUAAAGAUAUGUGCUGCAGAAAAAGCACAUGGAUCAGAUGGCCAUAUCAUGGCUUUCUUUCAAGCUUUCUGGGAAACAAUAAAAGAAGAACUGAUGCAGACAUUCCACAUAUUUCACCCUCACCACAAGUUUGAGAAAAGCUUCAAUGCCACCUUUGUAGCUUUGAUUCCUAAGAAGGUUGGAGCAAAUGAUCUAAGAUAUUUCAGACCCAUUAGUCCAAUCUCCAGGGUCUACAAAAUCAUAGCAAAGGUGUUGGCUGAGAGAUUAAAGAGGGUGAUAAGCAGAGUUGUAAACAACCACCAGAUGGCUUUCAUCAAAUGGAGGCAACUAAUGGAUGUUGCUCGUAUUGCUAGUGAAUGCAUCGACACCAGGAUUAGAGGAGAUGUGCCUGGAGUUAUGUGCAAAUUAGAUAUUGAAAAGGCCUUUGACCACCUGAACUGGAGUUUCUUGUUGACCACUCUCAGGCAAAUGGGAUUCGGGAGAAGGUGGACUAAGUGGAUAGAAUUUUGUAUCAAUAUUACCAGGUUCUCCUUUCGUUACCAUUUUCAAAAAAAAUAUUACCAGGUUCUCCACUCUGAGACAAAGGGAUCCCUUGUCCCCCCCCUUUCCUGUUUAUCAUAGCUAUGGAAGGGCUAGGCAGUCUAAUGAAAAGCUGCAACAAACAACUGGAUAAAAGGCUUCAACAUUAAGAACAGAAACAAUGAAAUCAUGGAGGUGACUCACUUAUUAUAUGCCGAUGACACUGUGGUUUUCUGCAAAGCUGAACAAGAACAAAUUUGCUACCAAAGGGUGAUACUGGUGAUCUUUGAAGCUUGCUUUGGGUUGAAGAUUAACUAGAGGAAAAACAAUAUUUUUCCAGUGAAAGAGGUGCAACAAAUUCAGUCUCUGGCAGAUAUUUUGAGGUGCAGGAUAGAGGAGCUGCCCACAAAUUAUUUGGGAAUGCCAUUGGGUGCUAAUCACAAAGUUGUGAAUAUAUGGGAUGGAAUAAUAGAGAAAACAGAAAAAAAAACUAGCUCUUUGGAAAUCACAAUACCUUUCCCUGGGGAGUAGAGUUGUUUUGAUCAAUGCAGUCCUAGAUUCUCUGCCAACAUAUGUAAUGUCUUUAUUUACCAUCCCCGGUGAGGUGGUGGAAAUCUUAGACAAGUUGAGGAGGGAUUUCUUAUGGCAAGGAAGCAAGAUUGAGAAAAGUUUCAACCUGAUAAAAUGGAGCACAGUUCAGCAAAGCAAGUUUUGGAGGUCUAAGAGUGAGGAACUUAAAGCUUCAUAAUAAGAGUUUACUUAUCAAAUGGCUAUGGAGAUUUACUCAAGAAAAUCAGUCCUUGUGGAGGGAGAUUAUCCUUCAUGAGUAUGGUCCGGAGGGGCAGUGGUGCACUAAUAAAGUGACUAAUACAUAUGGGGUUGGGGUUUGGAAAUCUAUCAGGAAUCUAUGGAUGACUCUCAAGCUAAACACUAAAGUUAGAGUUGGUAGGGGAGACAAGAUACUUUUUUGAGAAGAGGACUGGAGUGGUCAUGGCACACUUCACUCCCUUUUUCCUGAACUGUUCUAAAUAAGCUUGAAUACUGGAUGCAGUAUACAAGAAAUGUGGUCCCCUCAAGGGUGGAACCGGACUUUCAGAAGACCCCUAAAUGAUUGGGAAAUACCAUGGGUGGUAGAUUUUCUAAAACUAAUAGGAAACUUCCCGGGCACUAAUACAGAUGGAAUUCUCACUAUUAACAAAGUAUACACAAAAGGGGACUGAGUGUUGCUACUGGCAGGUCAACUGGACCUUGGAUUACUAUAUGGAAGAGUGUGGCUCCUAAUAAAGUGAAAUGCUUCACUUGGCUAGUAGCUAGGAAAGCAUGCUUGACACAUGAGGCAUUGCAAAAAAGGAGGCACUAGAAACCAACAAACACCUUUUCAUGCAUUACAAAGUAACGACACAAGUUUGGGCUAUGUUCACUUCGAUUGCUGGAAUCAACUGGAUCAUACAUGAACAUACUACAUAUUUGCUUAGCUGUUGGAUCAGAAGAGGAGGAAGCAAAAGCCAAAAAAAAAUGGUGGAGGACAGUCCCAACCUGCAUUUGGCGGACCAUUUGGAAGGAGAGGAACCAGAGGAUCUUUGAAGGAAAAGAAUCCUCUAUUUUGAAGGUUAAGUGGAAAGUUAUUACUUCACUAGGUUUUUGGUGUAAAGAACAGAGUAUAGAAGAAGAAAUCCAACUAGUGGACUUUAUAGGCUCUUUGUAAGUAUCUCUCUUUUCUUUUUUGUAAAUUUUUUGGAGGUGGCCAGCAUAGCCUUAAUGUUGAAUGAAUACAAUUUACCAAUUUCAAAAAAAAUAAAACUGAAGGUUAAAAGGAAAAGUGAGCAAUCAGUAAGAUAGUGAAAUUAAUAUUUAAUAUUUAUCUAAGGCUAAAAAUAAUAAAUUAUUAUAAUUUUAAUAGAUUAUCAAUUUACCCAAUAAUUCAUAUUACAAACUCAAAAUCCAACCAAUAACUUGUUAAUGGAAAAACUGUGAGAAGCAAAGGGUGGAAAGAAAUGGAGUGGAAAAUUAACAGAAAAUAAGAUUUUGCAGUGAAUUAAAGCUUCCCCUGAAAAAUCUUGUAGGUUCUCUCUCUACCUUAUUUAUCUUUAUAUAUAUUUCCUAACUUACUUUUCUUUCUUUGAAUUGAUUCGAGUGUUUCCUUUUUUCUUAAUAACUGUAUUGAAUUACUCUUCUUUCAUCAAGAAUUGAAAAAGUAUUGAAUUUUUUUCCUUAUUGCCAAAUAUAGCUUCACCAAAAGGGUGAUGGGGAAAAAAUCCAUUCUUGGUGAAUAUUUUGAUGUAACACUCAUGCUUUCAAGGGGAUUUUCUAUUUGAUGUAUGGUAGGUAAAUGAAGGGGAAAAAACUAGAUCUUGCUUUGUUAGCUUCCUUAACUUUUGAGUUUUGAGCAUAUAGGGUUGUAUGUUGUAAAAGGGGUGUUUCUUGUUGUUGUAAACUAAAUUAUGAAAUUGAUUACUUUAUCCAAUAACAGAAGGAAAAAAAGGAAAACCCCAGAUCUUGAUUUGGCAUUAUAUUGAAUAAUCAGAUUCAAAGACAAAUUUUUAAAUUGGAUUUUAAAUGUAUAUAUCCCUGGUGAGAGUCUUUGUUGUACUAUCUGAGGUCAUUGGUCACUCCGAGUAUUGUUCUCAAUCAGAGUUCUCAGAGCUCUUUGUUUAUAGCCAAAAUUGCAAAGAGAAGUAAGGUUCCAAUUCUUCAACUCUAUGUUCAUUUUCGUUUCCUUUUCGAUUUGAUAUUUUGGCGAUGUGAUUUUGUGAUUCAUGGAAUGGGCAAUCUGUUUGUUUAGAAUGAAGACUAGUUUAAAAGGAAUAAUAAUGGUUUGCUAAAUAGGUGAAUUUGGGAUGAAAGAUGAUUUGUGUGAUUAAAGAAGCCUAAUUGAUUAAUGAUUUAGAAUAAGUUCUGUUUAAAUUAUGGAACAAGUUUUAUUGCAAUAUUAGUCUAUGAAUGAGGUUCAUGUAGGCAAAAUUUGAGACACAUUUGAUUGCUUGUGUGAUUUUAUUUGCUUUCUAAUAUCAUGUAUCCAUUUCCCGGAAAAAAACAAAUGUGAGAAUGGAGGGCGUUAAUGGACAGAUUUGUUUUAAACUCUUCUAUGCGCGUAAGGCGUAUCUUUGUCUUUACUUUGAGAAAAUGUAGAGUAUAACAUUUGGGAUAAGUUUGUGAUCUGAGAAACUGCUCCGGCCACAAAAUCUGAUAUUGUGAGCUUGUCAUUUUGUUUCAGUAUUCUUCACUUACACGAAUGAUUGAUUGUUUCGUGAUGUUCAGGCAAAUGAGGCGCAGUCGUGAGGUUUGGAAGAUGGGCACGGUAAAUUACCUGGAGGCACUGAAGUUGCAAGAGAAGCUGGCAUCUGAUAGAAAAGCUUUACAAAUUAUUAAUACCCUAUUAUCCCUACAACAUCCACCGACAUAUAUAGUUGGCAAAAGGGAAACAGUUCAUAAUCUACUCAUUCCUAAUUCCGAGCUCAAGUCCAUGGGGGUAGAACUUCACUAUACGCAUAGAGGAGGUGACAUUACUUUUCAUGGUCCUCACCAAGCGAUCUUAUAUCCCAUUGUUUCGUUGAGAGAUAUUGGUUUAGGGGCUAGAAUGUACGUUGAGAAGCUUGAGCUAACCAUGAUUGAAUUGGCAUCUAUGUAUGGUGUGAAAGCACAGGCUGGACAAAAAUGCGAAACUGGGGUUUGGGUUGAGGGCAGAAAGAUUGGCGCGAUUGGAGUUAGAAUUUCACCUGGGAUCACAUCUCAUGGAUUAGCAUUCAACAUGGACCCUGAUUUAAACUACUUUAAGCAUAUUGUGCCUUGUGGGAUUAGCGAUAAAGGUGUUAUGUCUUUGAAGAAUGAGACAGAUGUAGAGCUUCAUGCUGAAGAUGUGAUACAGGAGUAGUUGAUCGCUUGUUUUGUAAGAAUAUUUAGGUACAACGAUGUCGUUUUAAAAGAUAAGUUUGUGUUAUAAUUUGAUUAUAAGCACUAAUGUUACAUUAUGUGACUAAUUUUUGUAUAAGUAGACAUUGUUCAUUCAUUUGAUCAGAUUAGCAUUGUGGACGAGUAAGCGAUGAUAUCAAAAGCAGAUUUCUUGUGCUGUCCUUUGAAUUUUUAAUAUCCUUAUUUGUGGAUAUUUUUCACAAAGAGUUCUGUUUAUGAGGAACCUGAGUUCCUUUGACCCUAUGGAGGCACAGGUGAGUGAUACCAAAGUUUGUUGAAGACAUGACAAAGCAAAACAAACUCAAUGUAAUCCCAUAAGUAAAGUCUGAGAAGGGUAAGAUUAAAAGCCUUACACCUACUUUUGUGACGUAGAGAGAUUGUUUCUGAUUGACCCUCUAACUUCCAAGUUUGAGACCAUCAAUAUGAACGAGCUCUAAGGCCGACUCAAUAAGAUUGGGGGACUAAAUCGAAAUAUAAGAUAGGGCCCUAAUACUUUUAUUUUUUCAUUAUACAUACUUUUGUUUAAAAUCUAUUUUUCUAGCUUUUUUAGAUGUGAAAUCGUUAAUUAUUAUUUAUAAUCGAUUUGUUUAAUAAUUCCUUUUAAAUUAAUAAUCCACUCAAUCUCUCUUAAGACAUUGUUGAUCUUAAAUAAGAUUUAAAUCGAUUUUAGUUUCGAAAAACUUCUUUAGGAUGAGGUAACGGUUACAGCAAACAUUUUCUAUAAGCAAUAUGUAUAUUCUAGAUGGUAGGAAACUUUCACAACACCCAAAUCAGAAAAGACACAAUCUUGCUCGAUUCAACAAAAACCCAGGAAAUAAGGCGAUCUUAACGGCGGUAGAAAACCCAUUUACCUAACCCUAAAACUGGGAAUCAAAAGAACAAUAAUAUCAUCACAAUCAACUAACAAUUCUGAAGGGAAUAUACACAUAAAGCAAGAUUUAAAAGAAAAGGAAUAAAACAUGGCAAAAAAGUAGACAAUUACUCACAAAUUAGUCAAUCAAAAAAAGUUUUAAAAAGCCGAAAUUGGUAAAGUAAGCCAGGAAAUUUCCCGACCGGCAAGAAGAAUAGGGUUCUUACCGGUAAUCGGCGGGUGGGUCGGAGGAGACAGGAGAGAUUGCGGCCUCCGAACAGUGAAAAGAGAGAAAGUGUAAGAAGUGUUUUUGGGUUUUGAUUUCUGUCUGUGAAAUUUUCUCUCUAUAUAUAUUGAAAGACUGGUUUAUAUAUAUUUCUAUCCAAACCCUUGAGAAAAAAAUAAAAUAAAAUAAAAAUCUGCGUGACAGUUGUUAAUUAAGAUAAAACUAAAAAAUUAAAUCCAACUGAAAUUAAAUUAUUCGUGUGUGGUCUGAUUUGAUAAAGUCAUGAUUUAAAUAUAUUAAAUAGAAAAUGUAUUACUACUAAUCAACUAUAUGUGUAUAGAAAUGGAUUAUUUUUUUUGAAAAAUCGAAGGAAACAUCAGUAUACAUUAUACUUUUUUUUUAUGCAAUGAAUUUAUCACAUUUUAAUUUUUGUAUAGAAAAAAUUGAAGAUAAUAGGUGAAUUUUAAAAAAAUAUAUAUAUUUUCAGUUUUUUUGUAUGCUUAUUCUAUGGACAUAAGAUCUUAAUUUGCAAUAAGUUAUGACUUUCUUAUUGGUUUUUGACAUAUUAGUAAUGUUUAACGCUAAUUUUUCUUAGUGUAGUUGCAUUUAAUAUAUAGAUUUAUUUGCACAAGUGUUGAAAUAAUCAAUAUUGUUUAUAAGUAAAUUGUUCUAUUUUUUUGGGAUAAUAAAGGAAAUAUAUGUUUAUAUGUAUAAUAUGCAUCAUUACAUCAUAUGUGGCUGCAUUAUUGCGAGCAUUAUAUAAUAGUAUUGGCUGCAUAAUAAAUACAAUUGCUAAUAUAUUUAAGUAAACUCUUAACAACAAUGAAUCUAGGUUUAUAUCUAUCAAUGGAAUCAUCAAAAUUAUACUUCCUUCUAAAAAAUAGUAAUUAUUUACAACAAAUGCGUUUAGUUUUUCGGGUGAACCAAUAAAUCUUAAGUAUUAUUUUUUAGAAUAUAAUUUGUUUUAGCUUUUACAAUUUGUUUCAUAAGAGGCGUACGAAGAGAAAAAAUUGUGUUAGAAAAUAUAUAGAAUCAUUAUCAAUAAGAUAAAUGUAAAAUCCAUAAUCUUUUAUUGUUCUUUUGCUCCUCCUUUAAUUCUCAUUUUCAAAAUCAUUUUGAACGACAAUGAGCAUUGGAAGUAUUUACACUUUGAACAAUAGGAACAUAAGAAAUAUUAUCUCUUAUUUUUUUAAAAAACACUACCAAUUGUUUUUUUAUUUCAACGGUAUUAUUACACUCAAUCAUAUCACUACUAACAUACCAAGAAAUUUAUAUGCAUCACUAUUACCAACAUAUCCGAGAAAUAAACAAUUCAGUAUAUUACUUUAUUAUGGAUCUAUUGCAGGAUCAUGUAUUUAUAAAAUACGCAAGAUUCCUCCAACUUUCUAAUAUUUCAAGUUAAUAUAUAAUUUUUCCACAACUCAUAAGGUCUUUUUUUUUUUUUUUUAAAAGCAUCCUAUUUUGUAAAUGACUUCACCACAAAAAAACUGUUAGGGGCAUAAGAACUGACAAGCAUACAAUGAAUUCUUAUUUAAUUUAUAUAUUAAAAACAUAUCAAAGAUUUAUUUACCAUUUAAAAUGCCUUUUGAAUUAUAAAUCUGAUUAUUAAUAUUAUAUACAAUGGAACAAAAAAGUUAAAAGAAGAAUGAAAAAAGACACUAAAAUAGGACUCCAUUUUUAGAAUUGGUGUGGCACAAAGAGAUUGGUCCUUUUUACCCACAUUGAGAAAGAAGAUACUCCCUCCGUCCCUAAUUACUUGUCCACUUUUCUUUUUUUAAUUGUCCCUAAUUACUUGUCCAUUUUGACAAAUCAAGAAAGGACAAAAUAUUUUUACCUAUUAUACCCUCGAUUAAUUACUUUGAAAAAGGUAGAACUUCUUGAAAAUCUUAGGUUUUUAAUUUAUCCACUUCAUAAUUAAUAGGAUUAAAAUGGUAAACUCGCUAUAUCGAUAAUUACUUUCUUAAUAGGUGUGUCAAUUCAAAAGUAGACAAGUAAUUAGGGACAGAGGGAGUAGAAGCUUUUUGUGAGCAAAAUCCAGAUCCAUCAGCAAAAAGGUCCCUUUUGGUGGGUAAGUAAAAAGAGAGAAACAACAAGGCAAGGAAGGCAUCACACCCCACUAUCCAUCUUCAAGAUUCCCUAUGGGCUGUAGUCAAUUCAUGAUGCCUCCCAUUCAUAUAGGAUGGGAUUGAAAUGUGCUAAAGUAUAAAUAUUGGUGUUAUAUUUGUAUUACAUAAAUUUUUUGCAGGUAAGGAGCAUCUGGUCAAAAUGUCACCUCACCAGUAUUGAACAUUAGAACAUGGCUGAAAAAAAAUCUCCAAAUCCAACAUUUCACAAUUUAGCACCCUAUGAUGCUAACUGCUAAGUACACAAGUCUCUUGAAAGCAUGUGGUGUUAGACAUAAGUAAAAUCAGUAUAGUGCCAUAAAUCAAAGGAGGACACAGCAAAAAACUCAGGCAAUGGAACUCACAAUAUUGAUAACAUCAAUGGAAAUUUUCAUAAGAUUCAACUUCAUUUUCAGCAAGGAGCCUAGGCUUCUGGUUUACAGAAGGCGUAUGAUUCUUGGCUCCAAAGAAUGAGAAAAUAUCUGAUCAUUUUGCUGCCAAAACAUCACACAAUAGAUCAUGCUAGUGUUGGUACUUUGCCUUCUUCGACUUGAGAAGGUCUGAAAUUGAACACUCCAGCUAGUCCUCGUCCCCUUGCCAACUGUUCAAGCUCUUGAAUUUUGCUUUUCAGGCUCUCCACCUCUCGUGACAAUGCAUCAUCUCUUUCCCUCAUUUGCUGAGAAAACGAAUGAGGAUCUCAAAUAUAGCUCAAACAAAUUUCAAGAAGGAUGAAUUUCAGUUCAUUAUAAUAGCUAAUAGAUGUUUUUGAUCUCAACUCAUGAUGUAAUAGAACAGGAAAGGAUUGUUUUAGACAGAAAAUUCAAAGAAGAUGAAGAUGAUGAUGAUGAGUGAUGAUGAUACUUAAAAAAUGGACCUUGUCAACUGAUGAUGAUGAGUGGUGGUGAUGAUGAUGAUGAUGAGUGAUGGUGAUGAUGAUGAUGAUGAGUGAUGAUGAUACUUAAAAAAAUGGACCUUGUCAACUCAACCUCAAGAGUUAGCUCUUAACAAUCAUAAUUUGUAACCAUAAACUUGAGAAAGAGAUGCAAAGGUAGAUGUUUACUGAGAUAACAUCACAGGAACAACACAUAUACUUUUAGGAAUGUUCAGUGUUUUUGGUUUUGGGUGAUACAAAAGAGUUUGUCAAGACCAAACAAGUAACCGAAGAUUUUGAGAGACUACCUCCAGAUCUUGUCUACGAAGUUCCUCCUUUUUCGCUUCUGAUCGAGAACUUCUUUGCACCUCAAAGUAAAGUGCAGCAACUGCAACCUAUUUCAGCAAUUCAAGAAAGUAGCCAAAGCACAAAAUUAGACAACAUAAAGGUGCUAGAUGCAAGAUACCAAAGUCGAGUGUUAUUGCAUCACUCCAAACUGACCACCAUUAUUGACAGAUUCAACCAAAUAUAAUGAUGCCUCCCAUGCUGCAUUAUUCAUGAUUCAUUACUGUGUCACUCACAAGAAAUUCACAAACAAAAUAACAACCAAAUAAUGUGAUAACAGAUUAUUUUUGUUACUACAUGUUGUUUCCUAUGCUUCGGUUAUCACAUUAUUUGGUUGUUAUUACUGUUCCUUGUUUUCUGAAUGCUAUGUAAUGUUUUCCCUAUUGUUUGCUAUGUCCUCUUUAUUUUUGAAUUUUUCUUUUCAGACAGUUUUGGUAUACGUUACUUGAGUCGAGGGUCUUUCAGAUACAACCUCUCUACCUCCACGAGGUAGGAGUAAGGUCUGAGUACACUCAAUCCUCCCCGGAUCCCACCACCUGUGGGAUUACACUGGGUAUGUUGUUGUUGGAUAAAGCAACUGGUGACCACUCAUUCUAAUUCAUACUGUGUACGAUUAUGAAAUGCUAAAGUAAAGCUUCCGAUUUUGCGCAAGAAUAAUAGACUUCCAGUGAUCAA
rnacentral:lncRNA from 1 species